GAAAUGCGAUAAUUAAUGUGAAUUGCAGAAUUCAGUGAAUCAUCGAGUCUUUGAACGCACAUUGCGCCCCCUGGUAUUCCGGGGGGCAUGCCUGUCCGAGCGUCAUUGCUGCCCUCAAGCACGGCUUGUGUGUUGGGCUUCCGUCCCUGGCAACGGGGACGGGCCCAAAAGGCAGUGGCGGCACCAUGUCUGGUCCUCGAGCGUAUGGGGCUUUGUCACCCGCUCCCGUAGGUCCAGCUGGCAGCUAGCCUCGCAACCAAUCUUUUUGACCAGGUUGACCUCGGAUCAGGUAGGGAUACCCGCUGAACUUAAGC
rnacentral:misc_RNA from 1 species